rnacentral:tRNA from 1 species
GGGCCCGUAGCUCAGCGGCAGAGCGGGCGGCUCAUAACCGCUUGGUCGCAGGUUCGAAUCCUGCCGGGCCCACCA